GUAAUCUUCACACAACCCAUGUAAUACAUAAGGGAAAGAGAUACAUAGUUGGCUUACAAUCGCCACUUCACACGAUUACAUGAAUAAAGCAUUACAUCAUCCAGAUACAAUCAAGGUCCGACUACGGAACCAAAAUAAAAGAAGAACCCCAAAUGCGACAAAGGUCCCCGAUCGACCCCAACUGGGCUCCACUACUGAUCAACUAGAACGAAACAACACAAAGGGCAAGAUCUUCAUCGAGCUCCUCCUUGAGCUUGGUUGCAUCAUCUGCACGGUAACAUAGGCACCUGCAAACUGGUUUUGGAAGUAUCUGUGAGCCACGGGGACUCAGCAAUCUCGCACCCGCGAGAUCAAGACUAUUUAAGCUUAUAGGAAGGAUGGAGUAAUGAGGUGGAGCUGCAGCAAGCGACUAGCAUAUAUGGUGGCUACAAUCGCAAAAGAGAGCGAGAAGAGAAGGCAAAGCACGGUCGAGAAACUAUGAUCAAGAAGUGAUCCUGAAACUACUUACGUCAAACAUAACUCCAACACCGUGUUCAGUUCCCGGACUCCGCCGAGAAGAGACCAUCACGGUUACACACGCGGUUGAUGUAUUUUAAUUAAGGUCAACUUCGGGUUUUCUACAACCGGACGUUAACAAAUUCCCAUCUGCCCAUAACCGCGGGCACGGCUUUCGAAAGUUCAAAUCCCUGCAGGGGUGUCCCAACUUAGCCCAUCACAAGCUCUCACGGUCAACGAAGGAAUAGACCUCCACCCGAGACAUUCCGAUCAGACUCGGUAUCCCGGUACAACAAGACAUUUCGACAGGGUAAAACUAAACCAGCAACACCGCCCGAAUGUGCCGACAAAUCCCGAUAGGAGCUGCACAUAUCUCUUUCUCAGGGCACACUCAGAUGAGCAAUCCGUACAACUAAAACCAAACCUCGAGUUUCCCCGAGGGGGCGCUGCACAGGGCUCUAGUUCGGACCAACACUCAGAGGAGCACUGGCCCGGGGGGUUAGAAUAAAGAUGACCCUUGAGUCUGCAGAACCCAAGGGAAGGUGGUAGGUUGUUAGUGCAAAUGGUAAAACCAAUGUUGGGCAUUGCUGGAAGAGCUUUACUUAAGGCGAACUGUCAAGGGGUUCCCAUUAUAGCCCAACCGUGUAAGGAACGCAAAAUCCGGGAACAUAACACCGAUAUGACGGAAACUAGGGCGGCAAGAGUGGAACAAAACACCAGGCAUAAGGCCGAGCCUUCCACCCUUUACCAAGUAUAUAGAUGCAUUAAUUAAGUAAGAUAUAUUGUGAUAUCCCAACAAGUAAACAUGUUCCAACAAGGAACAACAUCUCCAUGUUCAAACAAGGAACAAACUUCAAUCUUCACCUGCAACUAACAACGCUAUAAGAGGGGCUGAGCAAAGCGGUAACAUAGCCAAUCAACGGUUUGCUAGGACAUGGUGGGUUAGAGGUUUGACAUGGCAAUUUGGGAGGCUGACAAGCAAAUGGUAGGCAUCGUAGCAUUGGCAUGGCAAAAGAGCGAGCAAACUAGCAUAGCAAAGAUAGUAGUGAUUUCGAGGGUAUGAUCAUCUUGCCUGAGAUCCUGCAAGGAAGAAGAAAGAGUCCAUGAAGAAGACAAACGGACGAAGUCGAACGAAUCCUCACAACUCCGGAACGAAACCGAAGCUAACGGGAGAAGCAACCCGGAAAGAAACAAACAACAUGGUAAACAACCAGCACAUCAACAUGGCAUGAUGCACAAUCAAGUAUGAUGCAUGUCCGGUUUAAUGAGGCAUGGCAUGGAAAAAUGAAGCAAACAACACUACAAUUUAAGUGGAGCUCAAUAUGCACGAGUUGCAUAUUGACGGAACACCACAUCAAUUAUUUAGUUAUCUCUCGUUUAAGCUACCCAACAAUACUAACUGUUGUUAAACAUGGCAAGAGGUGAAGCAUAAUAUAAAAUAUACCAUGUAAACAAUUUAAAUGGGGCUGGAUAUAAAAACAACAAAUCCGGUAAAUCCCCAUAUGCAUUUAGCAAUUUAAUGCAACAACAAGUUUAAAUAUUUUAAAUGUUGUUAUCAUGAUGCGGAUGACAUAUACAAGUUUUAUGCAAUUUUAUGAAAAUGUUGACAUGAGCAUGUUAUGAAGCAUUUGGUCACCAUGGCGGAACAAAAAGGGUGCCACGGCGGCGAAACAAAAAUGGUGCCACGGCAAUAUUCCGGUCCCGGUAACUCAUGGAGAUACCGGUGCAAAAGGAGGCGUGCGGAUGUGCGGAACAUGCUAGAGAUGGUGGGGUGAUCCCGGUUACCGGGUUCCCACGGUUCAUCGGCAUGGCGAACGAGGAGGAACGUGCAUGAAGCAAACGGGCACGGUGCAAACAUAGGGUGCAUCUCAUACAACACAUGCAUUCGGUCCAUGGACGGCGUCUCGGGGUUAUACCUUCGAAGCGUGCGUUUUCGGAGCGGUUCGAGUCGUCGAGGGAAGUAGUGGUACUCGUUUCGUAGAUGAACUUGACGGUUCCGUUACACAGGUCUUCGGCGACGGUAGUGGUACACGGGUCGAAGAGGAACUUGGCGUAUCCACGUGCCUAGGGGUACUUGGCGUUUCCGGAGACGACGGUAGAGGUACUUGACGCGUUGUUGUGGUACUUGGCAAAAAUCAUAGAGAAGAUGCUUGGCGGUCCUGGGAUGGUCUUGGCGUCCGUGUAGUCGAUCUUGCAGAUCUUGACGGUCCAACACAAAACAUCACAAGGGGCCUCGUGAGCGAUGACGAUGCUGAGCAGGAACUUGGGCGAACUGCAUUGGC
rnacentral:lncRNA from 1 species